rnacentral:ncRNA from 2 species
UCUUUAUCGAGAGUGGUGGAGGGAAAGGCCCUGCGAAACCACAGCAACCUGUGCAUUUUUUAUUGCAACGGGUGCUAAUUCCUGCCGAUAAGUAACCGGCGAAGAUGAGGU